CCUUUUUCCUGUUUGCCUGCUCCAGCUGCACAAUGUGAUCCACCCACAAGGAGGGACGCCAAUAAGGCAUCUGAUAAGAUAAGUCUUAUAAAAUAUAUAGAUGUAUGAUAAUUGAGACUGAGCUAUCAGAUGAGAAUCCUAGUCAUUGGCCAAGCAGCAUUCAACCUAAACAAGUUUCUGUGUAUUAGGCGGGCGGCUGGCCUAAACCUCACACAUGGCGAUGGGGCCCAGGCAGCUUUUGGCAGAAAGAUUUAUCCUAACACACAACCUAAAUUACAUAGUACCAGUACACCCAGGACUAUAUAGAGUGUCCUGUCCUCAAAAAACCAAACAAGCAAAAUGCAACAACUUUAGCCAUCAGAUCAAUGAGAAUUAAAAUUACCUAGAGAUAUUUUUCUUACUCAGAAAUGCCAACAUAAAUAAAACCAACAACAGAUCAUGUUGCUGAAGGUGUUGGGGGGAAAAGUGUUUGAGAGAAAAAAUGGUACAGCCAUCUCACCCACACAGUCUAACCAGAAGCCGGAGUCACCAACUUACCCUGGAUAUCAGCAGGCUCUCCCGUCUUGUCCAGAACACUGCUGGUACUGGAAUAUCUGUUCCCAGGACCCGGCCUUAAAUUCUUUUCAUUCCAGGUCCCUCCCACAUCCUCCACCCUUUAUUCCAUCUCCUCCUACAGAUCCUCCCACUGUAGGGUCCCACACACUCUACUGCCCCACCCUAGGAAGGAUUAGCAUAAUUGAACAACAACAGCUCAUAGUGGUGAAGAUAUAUGGGAGGAAUGGAUCAACUUUUACACUGAUUUGGGAGUUCAAAGUGGUAGAGCCAUGCCACCACUGCAAUCUACCCAGAAGCCUUACAGGCAACUUACCCUGGCUAUCAGCAGGCCCUAUCGUCUUCUCCAGAUCACUGCUGCUGUUUGUAGCUCCAGUCCAAGUGCCUGGCCUUAAAUAUAUUUUCUAUCCAGGCCCCUCCCAGUCCUCCACCUUUUUCCCAUAAUUCCAAGAGACCCUCCCACUAAAUCCUUAACUGGCCUUGAACUUUCUUUGUAUGUGAUGAUGACCUAUAUCAGUUGGAAUUCACAAGGAGCCGAAUGGCCCACCACACAAGCAAUUAGAUGCUGAGGAGAUCCCAAACUAUCCAAUUAACAAUACCUCAGCCAUUUGAAUUUUGUUGUUUGCUAAGGCAAAUUAUCAAUUUAUAGCUCACACAGUGCCAUGGUUUGCAGAUGUUUUGAUGAGCCUCUGACAAGAUAACAUUAAAACAAUGAGUCUGUGUUUUUUUUUUGUUAGUUUUCAAUUUUUUUUUGCAUUGAGUUUUCUUCUUCAUAUGUAAUCUCGUUGAAUGCAAACUUGAAGCAAUGUCACCUCCACGUGCUAAGAAGUGACUCUUCCCCAGGAUGCAUUUUAGCAGCUUUGCUAUGAAUUAAUAUAUAUUGGAAAAGUUAUGAAGGUUUUCAAACUGGGUUUGGUGGCACACACCUUUAAUCGCAGACUUUGGAGGCCAAGGCAGGUGGAUCUCUGAGAGAUUGAGGCAAGCCUGGUGUUCAAAGAGAGUCCCAGAAUAGUCAUGGACGUUACACAGAGAAAGCCUGUGUGAAGAAACCAAAACAAAAUUAGGAACUGAGCUGGGCAUUGGUGGCACACGCCUUUAAUCCCAGCACUCAGUAGGCAGAGGCAGGCAGAGGUCUGUGAUUUCCAGGCCAGCUUGGUCUCCAGAGAGAGUGCCAGGGUAGGCUCCAAAGCUACACAGAGAAACCCUGUCUCGAAAAACCAAAAAAAAAAUAAUUAGGAAUUGAUCUAAUCAUCCAUGGUAAUGCAAGAAUUUCACUGACUCACAUAACCAUCUCUCUGCCCCAAAGAAUGCAAUCUUAGAGACUGCAAAAUCUACGCCCAGUAUUUGUUUGUUUUUCAUGACAAUGUUUUUCUGUUUAGCUUUGGAGCUUGUCCUGGUACUCACUCUGUAGACCUGUUAGGCCUUGAACUCAUUUAGAUCCAUAUCCCUCUUUGAUCUAAGUUCUAGGGUUAAAGGUGUGUCCCACCACCACCCAGCCUACUCCCAACAUUUCAAAGUGUUGAUGUUGUGCAAUUCAAAGUAGUAAGAUACAGUUUAAAUUUUACUCAAAGACCAUUUUAUUCAAUGAAAAAUGAUGAGUGGUGAAAAGCUAGUUAUGAACACUUCACCAUUACACAGGCAUUUAGCAAUUCUGCAAUCUCAGAGCUCAGGAAGCUGGAAACACAUUGCCAGAAAUUGGGGCAAAGCCAGGGCUGCAUUAGAAAAACACUGUAUAAUUAUUUUGUGUAUGUCAAAAUUUGACCCAGGUUAGUUGGAAAAAGAAAAUCCUGAGCCAUGCUGCAAUAGCAUACACCUUUUAUCCCAGCACUCAGGAGGCAGAGGCAGGGAGAUCUCAGUCAGUUCAAAGCCACCCUAGUCUACCUAGAGUGUUCAUCAAUAGAGAAACCCUUUCCAAACUACAAAAAGAAAAAUGAAAUGUCCAGAAGGCGAUUCAAAAUGCGAGGUCCAAAAGUAAGCAAGAGCAUAAGAAUACUUAUGGUUCCAAGAAUAAUAGAGAUUCAAGUGAAAGACUUUAGUCCACAAAGACAAAAAGUCCCCACAGGCCUUGGCAAACUACAAGGAAGUUGGCCCCAACCCUGGGCACAUUCUAUGGUUUAGACAGGGGCAAUCCCCAAGGCCCUCUUUGGGUCACACCUGGCUGGCCAACAGACAAUCAAGGACUUUCCAGAGUACAUUCUGUGGUUUUUCCUUUGAGAAGACCAGGUCAAACCUGGGUGACCUCGUUAAUAUAAAAUCAUACUUUGUAAACAAUCACUUUGUAAUCAAUCACUUUGUACCCCAUGCAUGUAUGCUGAUUUGGGUAUAAAAUCCCUAUAAAAAG
rnacentral:lncRNA from 1 species